CGUCUGGAAAUAAAUGCACGAAGCGG
rnacentral:piRNA from 1 species